rnacentral:sRNA from 1 species
GGGUCCCCCUCCUCCGGGAUCCGGGACACAGCGUCGCGCGCUCCCCCCAGGGUGCCAUGGCCUCCCGGCUCCUGCACCGGCUGCGGCACGCCUUGGCCGGCGACGGCCCCGGGGAGGCGGCGGCCAGUCCAGAGGCCGAGCAGUUUCCAGAGAGCUCAGAGCUGGAGGACGACGACGCCGAGGGCCUGUCCUCCCGACUCAGCGGCACCCUCAGCUUCACCAGCGCCGAGGACGACGAGGACGACGAGGACGAGGACGACGAGGAGGCUGGCCCUGACCCGCUGCCCCUCGGGGACGGGACGUCAGGAGAAGACGCAGAACGGAGCCCCCCACCUGAUGGGCAGCGGGGCAGUCAGCUCCUGGCACGGCAGCUGCAGGAUUUCUGGAAGAAGUCCCGGAACACCUUGGCACCCCAGCGGCUGCUCUUCGAAGUGACCAGCGCUAACGUUGUCAAGGACCCGCCCUCCAACUCUACACCCUCGCCGUGAUAGGCCCAGGGCCGCCAGAUUGCCAGCCAGCCCAGAUCUCUCGCCGUUACUCGGACUUUGAGCGGCUGCACCGAAACCUGCAGCGGCAAUUCCGGGGCCCAAUGGCUGCCAUCUCCUUCCCCCGUAAGCGGCUGCGCCGGAAUUUUACUGCAGAGACCAUUGCCCGCCGUAGCCGGGCCUUUGAGCAGUUUUUGGGUCACCUGCAGGCAGUGCCUGAGCUGCGCCAUGCCCCGGACCUGCAGGACUUCUUCGUGCUGCCGGAGCUGCGGCAGGCACAGAGCCUCACCUGUACUGGCCUCUAUCGUGAGGCUCUGGCACUCUGGGCCAAUGCCUGGCAGCUGCAAGCCCAGCUGGGCACCCCCUCUGGCCCAGACCGCCCCCUGCUGACCCUGGCUGGGCUGGCCGUGUGCCACCAGGAGCUGGAAGACCCUGGGGAGGCCCGGGCAUGCUGUGAGAAGGCCCUGCAGCUGCUUGGGGACAAGAGCCUCCACCCUUUGCUGGCACCCUUUCUGGAGGCCCAUGUCCGGCUCUCCUGGCGCCUGGGCCUGGACAAACGUCAAUCAGAGGCUCGGCUCCAAGCCCUGCAGGAGGCAGGCCUUACCCCGACACCACCCCCCAGUCUCAAAGAAUUGCUCAUCAAGGAGGUGCUGGACUAACCCUUGCCUAGAUUUAAGGCCACUGUGAGGAGAGGGGCUGCCCCAGAAUGCAGGGGAAGGACCUGAUGAGGACAGAAUAGCUGGGAGGCUGCAGAGGGUGCUGGGAGCCCCUAGAAGUUCCAAAAGAGAAUAUGAAGCAGAUCAAGGAAACUUCUGUUGAGCUGGGCUCAGGAUGAGCUUUGGCUGGGGUUGCCUUUGUGUAGUACAGGGAAGUCUGACACAGCCUCUCCAGCUUAUAAACAGCCGGGGGGCUGUGGCACAGGUUGGGGCAAUGUUCCCUUGUUGGUGGGCCCCCAAGCUGGCAAGGCCUCUUGGCUGAAGGCCAGGGACUCUGCCCUGGAGUCCUGGAGUUAAGGGAUGAAGGCAAGGCUGCAGGUCUGGCCCAGGGGAAUUAAAAGCCAGCCACUCCAGUGGUAUCAGUCUCUUUAUUGGAUGUGAGGGCCAAAAGGGACUGUAACUCCUGUCUCAGGAAUGGGGAUAGAUGGGAGGUUCUUGAAGCCCCAGGCGAAGCUGGUACCUCUGGCUACAGCUUGCUCUCUGAGACCCGGGGCUUCACUCGGAUCACGCCCUCCUGGGCACAGGUCACAGCUAGGACUCCAUCCUGACGCCACAGCCGCCCAUGGACUAGCCCCCGAGAGCCACCUGUGGGUGAGGUGAAGGGUGAUGAUGGCCUGCUUCAGAACAGCCAAAUACACUUUUUUUUUUUUCCUGAAACAGAGUCUCACUAUGUUGCCCAGGCUGGUCUCAAGCUCCUGGGUUCAAGGGAUCCUCCCGCCUCAGCCUCCUGAGCAUCUGGGAUUACAGGUGCACAUCACCACGCCCAACCUCCAAGUGGACUUCUUGCAAAGGGUCUGGCCCAGGGCAGGGCUGCCCCACACAAGGGUGCACUGAGUGUCGUGGCUGCUCCAAAUGCCCCUUCAUGAGCUUAUUAUGGACCGUCAUUGAGGGGUAACUCCUCCCACAGGAACUCCACUUGACAGUUUAAAAGCACUUUCACACCUCUGCUCGCUUCCUCAAAAAGAUCACGGAGGAGCUCUGAGAACAGUUUCCUUCAACAGCUCGGCCAAGCAGAACUGCUGUACCUCUGGCCACUUGUGUUAGGAAAACUAUUGGCUCCCUGUAUAAUAAAUCAAGCCAGGUCCUCCAAGUGGUAAUUCAUGAAAAAUAUCCCCACUACCACCACCAAGGGGAAGAAGGGACUCAGCAGAGAGGACUUGAGGCCAUGAGGUCUGGCCUCUUCCCUCCCCACCUGGAGACUCCUCCCUUGCUGGCUUUGGGCCCAAGUUUGAUGUUUGUGAGGAUGAUUGCUGGUUUCCCUUACACAUAGCAGAGCUCACUCAGUUCUCACAGUGGCCAAAUGAAGCAGUUAUGUGUUGUCCAGUUUUCCAGACCAGGACUGAAAUCCAUAGAGGGUCAGGAAUUUGGCCCCAUGAUGAGGCCAAAUCUGAACCCAUGUCCUCACUUCAAGGUUAUCAAUCUUGGAUUGUGAUGCUGUUGGUACUUGAGAAUACCCCUUAUCUGAGUAUAAAGAGUCCUUAAGUUUUGUCCUUCGUUUAUCAAGCAAAGCUUUUCUUCAUUUGAAAUGUACUCCCUUGGAAAGGAGGUCAGGGUUCUGAAGCUAGACAUUGAUGAAUGAGUCUUGUUUCUCUCCCCUGCAAGGAAGGUCCAAGCAGGCCCUUAGGGACCACUGAAUGCCCCGAUCCCAAUCAGGUUAAUCAGAAUCACUUAGAGAACUUAAAAAUACAGUUUCUUGGACCUUAUCUAAGACCUACUGAGUCAGAAUCUUGAGGGUGGAAUCAGAAUCUAUUUUGAAAAGACAUCCCCAAAUGGCAGUCUGAUGGGCUGUGGGUUUGGAUACCACUGCUGUAAUGUAACCCUCUUUGUUUACAUGAGGAAACUGAGGCUCAGAUGGAAGAUAUGAUUUGCCUAUUAUAAUACAAAGAAUCUGAACUGG